AAACAGCUUAGCCAACCCUCUGUCACUCCAGCUCCAAUUAAGGGAGGUGAAUUGGAGCUGGAUAGAUCACCUGGCCCUGACUGGGAAAGCUGGAACAGCUGCUGCCUCAUCAGGCUGGGGCUGGAGAAAAGCCCCAGGGGAAGGAAACCUGGGAGGAGCUGGACAGGCUGUAAAAUGCAGUAGAGGAAAAGCAGUGAGGGGAAGCAGAGAGAGAUAGCUUACCCCUGCUGGUGGACUGUAAGAGGGAGAUGAAACACAGCCUGUAAAUAAAAGCACCAGCCGUGGGAAGAUGAAGACUCCCAAGAGAAGCAGAGCUGAGACUGGGAGGGCUGAACUCUGGCCUGGGGACUGAAGUUUUGAGUUAACUGCUGAUAUGCUGUAACCAGAGCUGAGUGACUUGCUGACUGGAGCGGGAGGGGAGAAAGAACAGCCAUGAAUAUUUUCAUUUGAAUUUCUGGUCAAUCAUGUUCAUGAUCCUUUUCCACUUGCCUUCCACAGACACAUAACUGCAUGUGAAAAGUGAAUGUUUAAUUUAGUCAAUUUGCUAAAAGCAAAUUUUGUUAUAUAUACUUGAUUUUACAAUUAGUACUUAGAGCCAUGUGGGUUAAUUAUGUAAGUCACAUGGUGCUGGUUCUGUUUCCUAACUGGAUGAUUUAUGUACAUAAACAGAGUAAUUUGUGAAUAAAGCAACUGAAUUGUUCAUGGAAGAAAUUCACAAAUAAUUCAAACUAACUGUAAUACUUCACAAUUUUGCAAUUUUCUCAGACCAUUAAUGAACAAUAAAAAAUGUUGAAAUAC